GAUCUUGGUCAGGAUGAACGCAGCGACAGGCCCAACACAUGCAAGUCGAGGGCAGCGCGGAGUAGCAAUACUUGGCGGCGACCGGCGCACGGGUGAGUAACACGUAUGCCAACCAACCCAUAACAGGGGGAUAACCCGGAGAAAUCCGGACUAAUACCGCAUAAGACCACGAUAUCGCAUGAUAUAGAGGUCAAAUAUUUAUAGGUUAUGGACGGCAUGCGUCUGAUUAGCUGGUGGCGGGUAACGCCACAAGGCAUCGAUCAGUAGGGGUUCUGAGAGGAAGGUCCCCCACAUUGGAACUGAGACACGGUCCAAACUCCUACGGGAGGCAGCAGUGAGGAAUAUUGGUCAAUGGGCGAAAGCCUGAACCAGCCAUGUCGCGUGAAGGAAUGAAGGUCCUAUGGAUUGUAAACUUCUUUUGCAGGAGGGUAAAGUGAGCUACGUGUAGUUCAUUGCAAGUACCCUGCGAAUAAGCAUCGGCUAACUCCGUGCCAGCAGCCGC
rnacentral:rRNA from 1 species